rnacentral:tRNA from 1 species
AAAGAUUUAGUUUAAGUAAAACAUUAAUUUGUCAAGUUAAAAAUAUUAAUUAAUUAGUAAUCUUUA